UACGUAGGGUGCAAGCGUUAAUCGGAAUUACUGGGCGUAAAGCGUGCGCAGGCGGCUUUGCAAGACAGAUGUGAAAUCCCCGGGCUUAACCUGGGAACUGCAUUUGUGACUGCAUGGCUGGAGUGCGGCAGAGGGGGAUGGAAUUCCGCGUGUAGCAGUGAAAUGCGUAGAUAUGCGGAGGAAUACCGAUGGCGAAGGCAGCCCCCUGGGAUGACACUGACGCUCAUGCACGAAAGCGUGGGGAGCAAACAGG
rnacentral:rRNA from 1 species